rnacentral:misc_RNA from 1 species
AAGUCGUAACAAGGUUUCCGUAGGUGAACCUGCGGAAGGAUCAUUAACAAAAUAAAGCCACGUUAUCACCAUACCGCCGCAAAAGCUCUGAGCGCGGUCGCAUAUGCAUUUGUCCUAGCCACAUUUACUUAUGUCGACUCUCGAGAGUUCGCGGGAGAGUUCUCCUGACUAAGGAUCUCUCCCGUUUGUUGGCCUGGUUUUGGGGUGACGUACUUUAUGCACACCACAUUGUGAAUAUGUAAUAACAAUUAUUUUACCAAUUGACUGUUAACGAAGUCUGAUUCAAAAUGUAUUGGUGUUUAUAGACACUAGUAAAAUAUGAAACAACUUUUGGCAACGGAUCUCUUGGCUCUC